UCUGUCGUGGGGGAUAACGUAGGGAAACUUACGCUAAUACCGCAUACGACCUACGGGUGAAAGCAGGGGAUCUUCGGACCUUGCGCGAUUGAAUGAGCCGAUGUCGGAUUAGCUAGUUGGCGGGGUAAAGGCCCACCAAGGCGACGAUCCGUAGCUGGUCUGAGAGGAUGAUCAGCCACACUGGAACUGAGACACGGUCCAGACUCCUACGGGAGGCAGCAGUGGGGAAUAUUGGACAAUGGGCGCAAGCCUGAUCCAGCCAUACCGCGUGGGUGAAGAAGGCCUUCGGGUUGUAAAGCCCUUUUGUUGGGAAAGAAAUCCAGCCGGCUAAUACCCGGUUGGGAUGACGGUACCCAAAGAAUAAGCACCGGCUAACUUCGUGCCAGCAGCCGCGGUAAUACGAAGGGUGCAAGCGUUACUCGGAAUUACUGGGCGUAAAGCGUGCGUAGGUGGUCGUUUAAGUCCGUUGUGAAAGCCCUGGGCUCAACCUGGGAACUGCAGUGGAUACUGGGCGACUAGAGUGUGGUAGAGGGUAGCGGAAUUCCUGGUGUAGCAGUGAAAUGCGUAGAGAUCAGGAGGAACAUCCAUGGCGAAGGCAGCUACCUGGACCAAC
rnacentral:rRNA from 1 species